rnacentral:rRNA from 1 species
GACGAACGCUGGCGGCGUGCCUAAUACAUGCAAGUAGAACGCUGAAGCUUGGUGCUUGCACCGAGCGGAUGAGUUGCGAACGGGUGAGUAACGCGUAGGUAACCUGCCUGGUAGCGGGGGAUAACUAUUGGAAACGAUAGCUGAUACCGCAUAAGAGUAGAUGUUGCAUGACAUUUGCUUAAAAGGUGCAAUUGCAUCACUACCAGAUGGACCUGCGUUGUAUUAGCUAGUUGGUGAGGUAACGGCUCACCAAGGCAACGAUACAUAGCCGACCUGAGAGGGUGAUCGGCCACACUGGGACUGGGACACGGCCCAGGCUCCUUCGGGGGGCAGCAGUAGGGAAUCUUCGGCAAUGGACGGAAGUCUUACCGAGCAACGCCGCGUGAGUGAAGAAGGUUUUCGGAUCGUAAAGCUCUGUUGUAAGAGAAGAACGAGUGUGAGAGUGGAAAGUUCACACUGUGACGGUAUCUUACCAGAAAGGGACGGCUAACUACGUG